UUAGUACCAAAGCAGCUCAGAACAGAACAACGUCACAAAGUUGUAACUGUUUAUACGAAGCACUAACAAAUAAUAGUAACAGUAAACGUGAAAAACUGUUGUGUAUACAUUGUAUUUAAAAGUAAAUGUUUAAAAACUAUGUGCUAAUAAGUGAAGAUAAGUGAUAUUCUAUAAGCUUCUGCGUUUACAAAAUUUCACCGCUCAACAAAAAAACAAAAGAAACACCGCUCAAUGUUACAAAAUUAGAAUUCUACAGUAAUGGGUUGGUAAAAAACGAAGGGUAUUAUAAAGAAAACACCAUACCAUUUAUUGUAAGUUUUUACACCAACCUGUUGCCGUACGGAGAUCCACGGAUUGGAGAUUUUGACGGCCUAUACGAAUUUCCAAGAGAGUCCAACAGAUCUUGAUUGAGUAAUUUUUUAGUUGACAUAUGCUUAUCGCCUUUUGCCAAACAUGCCGAAACCAAUGUGAUUCAUUUGAACACAGAAGAAGUUCGUUUUGCUUUUAGUGGUAUGCAAAAACAACAAAAAACUCAAUACUCUGGAGUUCUGUUGCUACCAUUUUUAGACGUUAGCCAAAGUCAUUGGUGCCUGGGCAUUAGCGAUUUCGGCACGAAAACGUUUUAUAUUAUCAAUCCUUUUGGUGGCACAGCUGAUGAAACUUCAAAAUAUAUGACCAAAUGGUUGAAUUUUUUGCAAGUACCAUCAAAUGAUAAGUCAGUCUGGAAAGUCGGCAUAAUUAAACACCCCAUCCAUUAUCCAUUAAUUGUGGUGUUUAUUUACUGGCAUUUUGCGAGAAAAUCUUUAAUGAAUACAAUCCCGAUUUAUACACCAUUAACGAACCUGAAAACUACAGGAUGAUACUUCGUCGAUUUCUUUUAAAAGAAUCAGACAACAUGACUACGAAGUGUUUAAUAUGUGGUGCAGGAUCUGAAGUCGUAGCAGACUGGGUACAAUGCAAUUACUGUCUACGAUGGAUUAUGCUAUCUUGCUUAAAUAGACAUAAUUUGAAAUCAGACGUUAUUGUUGAUUUGUAUAUGUGUUUUUUAUGUACAAAUUUUUUGAUCGAUGGGAGUAUUGGCAAUAGCCUAAUACUUCAAAAUUAUUAAUACGCGCUAUCAGUCGUGACGUCACCUCCCCACUCUUAUUACGGUAGGUCAGUUGCUCAAAGCUAAACAACCAGUCUUUUACAUGUGGUGUAAUACGUUUUUCGGUUUUUUGGUUGUGUUUGUGCGUUAAUAACGUGUCAAAUAGCUGCAGCGGGUGUAAUUUGUGCCACUAGAGACUUUAAUUUAAUUUAGAAGUGACUUUUUGUGAAAAUACGAACUUUAUAAAAGAAUACAGGGAACCACGUUGUCGGUGAGAAAUGGCAGAAAAGCACAUUGUUAAGUUUCACUUUAUUGCGAAAUUUUUUGGGGACGGUAAUCGCUUUUUAGUUCGGGGAGAAAAUGCUUUUACCAGCGGUCACGUCACCAAAUUUAGGUUUGAUGGCACAGUACAACCGAUGAGAAUUUCUGCAGAAGUUCUACCGAGCAUGAAAAAGCUAAAUUAUACUGUGGAGAUUUCAUAUGACCUAGAAGAAGGGGUUAAGACGGCACAUUGUACCUGCCCAAGGGGCAACGUGGCUUGCCAUCAUAUGGCUGCAGCAUUAUAUUAUGCUCAUUAUAAUGUAAGUGCUACUGACAUUGAGUGUCAGUGGAGUGCCCCAUCAAAAACAACACCACAAACAGAAGUCAUUAAGUUAGCUGAUGUUUACAAGCCGAAAUUAUCAAACUAUACGGCACUGUCUAGGUCCUCUACUGAGGACGAAAUUAUUCAGUUCCGUGCCGAAAUAGGCGUCACGAAUGUGAUAUCGAAGAAAUUCUACAAAGCUUAGAAUACGUGCAGGCCAUAGACAAACAAAAGUUUCUUUUGGAGAAGUGCAGAAUAGAUGAGGCACGCAUUAAACUGGUUGAGGCGUGCACUCGGGGCCAACAUGUUAACGAAAAUUGGCAUGUAGCAAGGAAACAUCGUUUAACGGCCAGCAGGUUUGGCAUGGUACUAUCUGCUUGCAGUAGACGAAGAUUCCCACCCUCUUUAUUUAAAAAUUUGGCGGAAGGCUAUUCGCUUGACAGGGUUGCUGCUGUGCAGUGGGGUAAGACCCACGAGAAGACAGCGCUCAGAGAAUUUGAAGAAGCGACGAAUCUUAAAGUCCAAGAGACGGGAUUUUGGUUGGAAGAAUCAGGCUUUUUGGGAGCAAGUCCUGAUGGAUUAGUGGAAGAAGAUGGGAUUCUCGAAAUUAAAUGCCCAUAUAAAUAUAGGGACACUGACAGUUUGUCUGAAGCCCUGAAGGAUAAAAAAUAUUUUUAUUGGAGGGAUGAAAAUGAGGACAUUAAUCUUAACAGCAAUCACAAUUAUUACCACCAAGUACAGGGGCAAAUGCACAUCACUGGUCGAAGUAUCUGCUACUUUGUCGUGUGGACACCAAAGUGCACAGAGAUAUUUCAAAUUGAAAAAGAUCCGGGGUGGUCAGAAAAUAUCAAUAUUUUAAAAGAAUUUUAUCUUGACCAAUAUAUUUCCUUUAUUUCACAAUAAUAAACUGUAUAUAAAUA